rnacentral:rRNA from 1 species
UACGGAGGGGGCUAGCGUUGUUCGGAAUUACUGGGCGUAAAGCGCGCGCAGGCGGUCUUCCAAGUCAGUGGUGAAAAGCCUGGAGCUCAACUCCAGAACUGCCAUUGAAACUGUUAGACUUGAGUACGAGAGAGGUGAGUGGAAUCCCAGUGUAGAGGUGAAAUUCGUAGAUAUUGGGAAGAACACCAGUGGCGAAGGCGGCUCACUGGCUCGUAACUGACGCUCAGGCGCGACAGCGUGGGGAUCGAAACAGG